ACGUAGGUGGCAAGCGUUGUCCGGAUUUACUGGGCGUAAAGGGAGCGUAGGUGGAUAUUUAAGUGGGAUGUGAAAUACCCGGGCUUAACCUGGGUGCUGCAUUCCAAACUGGAUAUCUAGAGUGCAGGAGAGGAAAGGAGAAUUCCUAGUGUAGCGGUGAAAUGCGUAGAGAUUAGGAAGAAUACCAGUGGCGAAGGCGCCUUUCUGGACUGUAACUGACACUGAGGCUCGAAAGCGUGGGGAGCAAACAG
rnacentral:rRNA from 2 species